rnacentral:lncRNA from 1 species
CUAUCCUGGAUUGCAGCAAAUUCAAGGUUUGCAGACUUUAAUAGGUACUCACAGAAGAGAAGGUACUCAUUGGAAGGACAGAUGCUGAAGCUCCAAUACUUUGGCCACUUGAUGUGAAGAGCCGACUCAUUGGAAAAGACCCUGAUGCUGGGCAAGAUUGAGGGCAGGAGGAGAAGGACAAAGGAUGAGAUGAUUGGAUGUAUCAUCGACUCAGUGGACAUGAGUUUGAGCAAAGUCUGGGAGAUAGUGAUGGACAGGGAAGCCUGGCGUGCUGCAGUCAAUGGGGUCGCAAAGAGUUGGAUACGACUGAGCGACUGAACAACAACAGCCCAGAAAAGAAGCACCCAAUGGACAGCCUCCCAACAUUUGAUGUGGAGGAUCUUUCCAGAUUCUGAUUCGUGGGCCUUGUUGGCUUAAGCUCAGCAUCUCUGUGUAUUAUCUUUAACUCACCUAUUUAGUGAACCUUUAUUGAGCAUCUAAUGGCCCAGGCACAGGGGUAAAUGGUCAGUGGAUGGGCACAGUUUCUGCCCUCCUGGGGCUUGCAGUCUGCAGAGGGAGACUUUUCAGGGCAGAUUCUUCAGCAGCAUCGUGUGACCCAGGGGGCUUUAUAACACCUGCUGUUUCAGUGGCUCAGAAGGAAAAGACCCUUCAGCAGACAUCUCCAGGAGCCCUGCCGUGUGCCAAGGCGCCCUGUGAGACCAUGAUGGACAGAGAAAAGCACCUUCCUUACGUGAAAAGUAUCAACUCGUUUCUGCUCUUCAGCAUUGUGGAGAAGGUGAGUUAAAUAAUAUGUGGCAGCGGGUAUGGGUUCCGUCCCUGGUCAGGAAGCUCAGAUCCCACGUGCCUGGAGGCCAAGAAACCAAAACCUAAAACAGAAGCAAUAUUAUAAAAAGUUCAAGAAAGACUUUAAAAAUGGUCCACAUCAAAAAAUCUUUAAAAAAAAUCAGUGCAAUUAAAAAAAGAGAGAGAGAGAAUAUGGGUAUCGCCUGGGAACUGGAAGCCUGGGCCCCAGAAGCUGACUGCCUCAGGCCUGGCCAGGGUCUUCACCCUCGAGCUGUGCUAUGUAAGUUCUGUGACCCAGACGAACUCAGUGUGACGCCCCACCCAGCACAGUGGGUAAUCAUGUAUAUGAUCAUGUUUAUAAUCAAUCGUUAAGGAGAAAACAAUAUUUCACAAAAAGAAAACUAGGAGAAUGAAGGUGACCGUGUAUUUGUCUUACAUGUGUUAGUUGCUCAGUCGCAUACGACUCUUUACGACCCCAUGGACUGUUGCCCACCAGGCUCCUCUGUCCAUGGAAUUCUCCAGGCAAGAAUCCUGGAGUGGGUUGCCAUUCCUUUCUCCAGGGGAUCUUCCCGACCCAGGGAUCCUCCAUUGCAGGCAGAUUCUUUACGGUCUGAGCCCCAGGGAAGCCCUAUUUGUCUUAUGAGUGAUAUAUAUAUUUUUCCAAAUGGGACAUCAAGAGUACUAGCUAUAAUCAGUUAAUAGAAUUAUGUACAUUUUCCAUAUCCGAGUCCUAGAGAUUUAAAAUUGGUUGCCCAUGGAAGUUCCUGGGUUAUGUGUCUUGUGUGUCUUUGUCUACACAUUUAGUGUAUCUGGUCACUUCAUGCAUUUUGUAUUCAUUUUGUGGGCUGCCAAAUAAUAACAGCAGGGCUGGCAUCAGCUCUGUAUCUGCUUGGAAAUGACCGUAAACACCACCACGGAAACUGAGAGCUCUUGCGUGUAGGCACCUGCCUCUCUGUCAGCUGCAGAAGAGCAGGGGGCUGUUUAGGAGAGGCUUGGGAGAU